rnacentral:tRNA from 1 species
GUGUCAGGAUGGCCGAGUGGUCUAAGGCGCCAGACUCAAGUUCUGGUCUUCGAGAGAGGGCGUGGGUUCAAAUCCCACUUCUGACAU